CACGUAGGGGGCAAGCGUUGUCCGGAUUUAUUGGGCGUAAAGAGCUCGUUGGUGGUUCGGUAAGUCAGGUGUGCAACCUCCAGGCUCAACCUGGAGACGCCACUUGAUACUGCUGUGACUGGAGUCCGGUAGGGGAGCGUGGAAUUCCUGGUGUAGCGGUGAAAUGCGCAGAUAUCAGGAGGAACACCAGCGGCGAAGGCGGCGCUCUGGGCCGGUACUGACACUGAGGAGCGAAAGCGUGGGUAGCAAACAGG
rnacentral:rRNA from 1 species